GACGAACCGUGCGAACGUUGUUCGGAAUCACUGGGCUUAAAGGGCGCGUAGGCGGCUCAUCAAGUCCGGGGUGAAAGCCCCCAGCUCAACUGGGGAAGUGCCUUGGAAACUGGUGAGCUCGAGGGAGGUAGGGGUCGAGGGAACUUCUGGUGGAGCGGUGAAAUGCGUUGAUAUCAGAAGGAACGCCGGUGGCGAAAGCGCUCGACUGGAUCUCUUCUGACGCUGAGGCGCGAAAGCUAGGGGAGCAAACGGG
rnacentral:rRNA from 1 species